UUUGUUUGACCAUGUUAGACCUAUGAGAAUUUAAUUGGACUUGUUGAAGUUGAUUUGAAUUAAAUAUAGUUUCUGAUUUCAAAAAUUAUUGAGAAAAUUUGUCAAAGUUUGUUUGACCAUGUUAGACCUAUGAGAAUUUAAUUGGACUUGUUGAAGUUGAUUUGAAUUAAAUUUGAGGUUUGACCAUAUUUUUCUUAUUUUAUUUUGCAUUUAUUUUUAAUUCAAAAAUUACCAAAAAAUUAUGGUUGACUUGUUGACUUGUAAUCUUCAUUUCUUUUUUGUUUAGCAUUGAUUGAUGAUGACUUGGUUCACAUUUGAUCAAUUGAAUUUGAUACUUGCAUUCUC
rnacentral:lncRNA from 1 species